rnacentral:ncRNA from 1 species
ACCAUUCCAUUGAAGAGGAAUAGUAAUCAAGAUCCCGAAUUUAAAAGAGAGGAGAGGUCGUGGCUGAAAGCCCUCCAAAUUUGCCUUGAUGAAUGAACACCUUGGAGGAGUUUUUCUGAACCGAUUUUUCUUAGUAGGAGAAGACGUAAGUAGGCGUUAACUGCUUGAAAGAGGAAGCGAGUAUGUAGCUUCAAUUAGGGUGGCACCACGGGAAUUCAACUCUCGUCCCUGAU